GUGGGGAAUAUUGGACAAUGGGGGGAACCCUGAUCCAGCCAUGCCGCGUGUGUGAAGAAGGCCUUUUGGUUGUAAAGCACUUUAAGUGGGGAGGAGGCUUACCUGGUUAAUACCUGGGCUAAGUGGACGUUACCCACAGAAUAAGCACCGGCUAACUCUGUGCCAGCAGCCGCGGUAAUACAGAGGGUGCGAGCGUUAAUCGGAUUUACUGGGCGUAAAGCGCGCGUAGGUGGUUAAUUAAGUCAAAUGUGAAAUCCCCGAGCUUAACUUGGGAAUUGCAUUCGAUACUGGUGAGCUAGAGUAUGGGAGAGGAUGGUAGAAUUCCAGGUGUAGCGGUGAAAUGCGUAGAGAUCUGGAGGAAUACCGAUGGCGAAGGCAGCCAUCUGGCCUAAUACUGACACUGAGGUGCGAAAGCAUGGGGAGCAAACAGGAUUAGAUACCCGGGUAGUCC
rnacentral:rRNA from 1 species